ensembl:lncRNA
UUCAACAGCGUAACACAGUCGGCGCUUUCACUCUCUUACAGCAAACGUAUCACAGCAUCAGAUCAACAGGGGACAUUACGACAUUUGCAGGUACACAUUCAAACAUAAAUCAAAGGUAGCGGAUUCCUGACUGAGGACAGUUGAGCUCCGCGUAGGGAAACUCAGUGGAUGAAGGCGAUUUCGGCCGUGGGGUCUGAACUUCUCGUUGGGAACAGAGGCGGCGGGGGGUCAGAGAGCAGCUGUCUCUCCGGUCCUCUGGAGUCAACAGGAAUGAAAUCAAAAGGGAAAAGGAAGCGGGACGUAGUGGAGCGCGAGUCUUGAGUUCGUCCAGCGAGAUUAAGACUGAAACUUGGGAAUUGGAGGGAAAGAAAAGAAACCAAACAACGUUGUGUUGUCUCGAUCUGUCACUAACGGGAAGUCAGGCGAAAGAGAUCGAUCCUUUGGCGCAAUCUCUUCUUAUGAACUUGAGGUCCAUGAAUAAAUGUCACUGUCCUCGGCCAAUGGGAGCGCUCGGUGUUCUUUGGUACGUCCUCUUUUUAUGGCCAAGGGGGUCUGGAGAGCUGCAGGGGUCCUGUUAUCAGCCCCUGGCAUCAGGCCACGGGGGACCCCUAUAUGUUUGUGUCCUUCCUUUGUCCUCAGUGAAGAAACAC